CGCAAUGGGCGAAAGCCUGACGGAGCAAUACCGCGUGAGGGAUGAAAGCCUGUGGGUUGUAAACCUCUUUUCUCAAGGAAGAAAUUUUGACGGUACUUGAGGAAUAAGCAUCGGCUAACUCUGUGCCAGCAGCCGCGGUAAUACGGGGGAGGCAAGCGUUAUCCGGAAUCAUUGGGCAUAAAGCGUCUGUAGGUGGUCUAGCAAGUCUGCUGUUAAAGAUCAGGGCCUAACCCUGGGAAAGCAGUGGAAACUGGUAGGCUUGAGUGUGGUAGAGGUAGCGGGAAUUCCUGGUGUAGCGGGGAAAUGCGUAGAUAUUAGGAAGAACCCCAAUGGCGAAAGCACUCUACUGGGCCGCAUCUGACUCUCGGGGACGACAGCUA
rnacentral:rRNA from 1 species